UCAUUGAGGCAAUGACUUUUUUCAUACAAUAAUGCUUAAUGUUACGAGAGGUCUUUGCACGAAUUUAGACGAAUUUAACUUAUUCCUUUUAUUUUCAAAAUCCAGCAAGUUAAACUUCUAUAGAGAUAAAGUAGAAGGCACCAUCUGCCAACAAGUCUUGGCUUUUUAUGCUUCAUGACAUCUUUCUCACACUUUUUUUGUGAUUUUAAUAUGAAAUGAUGAUAGCAAAUAUGGAGGUCGUGUCAGGUUGGCGGUGGUACUAGAAUCACAUGCAAUGAUAAUUAUACAGGGUUCUAUUGUGGAACAUAUUUUAUUUUCUUUUUCUUCAUUAUUAGAGUAAUUAAAAAUGGCCCAUAUAUAGUGAGUUUGCAAGGCAAACAUUCAGUCGAGUGUUUUGUGCGAAGAAAGCCUUCGCACCAUAUAGCACCACUCUUUUUCAUAUGGAUUUCAAUAUUUUUAUGAUAUUGUUGAUUUCAAUUUUGCAAGAUGCUAAUUUCUUGGUAUUAUUAUUAAAUCCUUAGUGAAAAUCUUGUUAAAAAAUAAAGUCCUUAGUGAAAAUAAGUUGAUGGAGGGAGAUUUGAUAAAUAAAUUGAUCCAAGAAUAAUGCUUUUAGGGACACUCUAGUAACACCUGGUCUCUUGCUGAAGUUCACCAAUAAGUGCACCUAUAACAGCCUCACUCAAAAAUAACCUUGUUUAGAUCUUUACAAAUAGCAAUUUAUUUAAGCAAAAUUUGCUUGUAGGUAUUUUUCUGAUGUUAGUCCCUUUCUCCUUUUAGUUCAC
rnacentral:lncRNA from 1 species